rnacentral:rRNA from 1 species
GAUGAACGCUGGCGGCGUGCCUAAUACAUGCAAGUCGAACGAAGGUAGCAAUACCUUAGUGGCGAACGGGUGAGUAACACGUAGGUAACCUGCCUUUCAGUUGGGGAUAACCGAGGGAAACUUUGGCUAAUACCGAAUUCGUGCUUCGAAGGCAUCUUCGGAGCAUAAAAGGGGCCUUUAAAGCCUCGCUGAUUGAUGGACCUGCGGCGCAUUAGUUAGUUGGUGAGAUAACAGCCCACCAAGACGAGGAUGCGUAGCCGACCUGAGAGGGUGAUCGGCCACACUGGAACUGAGACACGGUCCAGACUCCUACGGGAGGCAGCAGUAGGGAGUUUUCGGCAAUGGGGGAAACCCUGACCGAGCAACGCCGCGUGAGUGAUGAAGGUCUUCGGAUUGUAAAGCUCUGUUAUAAGGGAAGAACGGCAGCUAGAGGAAAUGCUAGCUGUUUGACGGUACUUUAUGAGAAAGCCACGGCUAACUACGUGCCAGCAGCCGCGGUAAACGU